rnacentral:rRNA from 1 species
CGCAGCCGCGGUAAUUCCAGCUCCAAUAGCGUAUAUUAAAGUUGUUGCAGUUAAAAAGCUCGUAGUUGAAUUUCGGGAUCAAUAUGUCGGUCGUGCCUUCGGUACGUACUGGCAUCAUUGAUUUCUCCCUUCUGACGAACCACGAUGUCAUUAAUUUGGUGUCAUGGGGAGUCAGGACUGUUACUUUGAAAAAUUAGAGUGUUUAAAGCAGGCUCACGCUUGAAUACAUUAGCAUGGAAUAAUGAAAUAGGACGUUUGACCCUAUUUUGUUGGUUUCUAGGAUCAACGUAAUGAUUAAUAGGGAUAGUUGGGGGCAUUAGUAUUCAAUUGUCAGAGGUGAAAUUCUUGGAUUUAUUGAAGACUAACUACUGCGAAAGCAUUUGCCAAGGAUGUUUUCAUUAAUCAAGAACGAAAGUUAGGGGAUCGAAGACGAUCAGAUACCGUCGUAGUCUUAACCAUAAACUAUGCCGACUAGGGAUCGGAUGAUGUUAAUUUUUUAAUGACUCAUUCGGCGUCCCG